AGAGUUUGAUCCUGGCUCAGAACGUACGCUGGCGGCACGCUAACACAUGCAAGUCGAACGCAGUAGCAAUACUGAGUGGCAGACGGGUGAGUAACAUGUGGGAAUCUGCCUUGUGGUUCAGGACAACAUUGGGAAACCGAUGCUAAUACUGGAUAAGCCCUUACGGGGAAAGUUUUAAUGCCAUAAGAUGAGCCCGCAUUUGAUUAGUUAGUUGGUGAGGUAAUGGCUCACCAAGACAAUGAUCAAUAGCUGAUCUGAGAGGAUGAUCAGCCACACUGGGACUGAGACACGGCCCAGACUCCUACGGGAGGCAGCAGUGGGGAAUCUUGCACAAUGGAGGAAACUCUGAUGCAGCGAUGCCGCGUGAGUGAAGAAGGCCUUUGGGUUGUAAAGCUCUUUUGUAGGGGAAGAUAAUGACUGUACCCUAAGAAUAAGG
rnacentral:rRNA from 1 species